rnacentral:rRNA from 1 species
UUGAUCCUGGCUCAGGAUGAACGCUGGCGGCGUGCUUAACACAUGCAAGUCGAACGGUGAAGCCAAGCUUGCUUGGUGGAUCAGUGGCGAACGGGUGAGUAACACGUGAGCAACCUGCCCUGAACUCUGGGAUAAGCGCUGGAAACGGCGUCUAAUACUGGAUAUGAGCUGCGGAGGCAUCUUCGUGGUUGGAAAGAUUUUUCGGUUUGGGAUGGGCUCGCGGCCUAUCAGCUUGUUGGUGAGGUAAUGGCUCACCAAGGCGUCGACGGGUAGCCGGCCUGAGAGGGUGACCGGCCACACUGGGACUGAGACACGGCCCAGACUCCUACGGGAGGCAGCAGUGGGGAAUAUUGCACAAUGGGCGGAAGCCUGAUGCAGCAACGCCGCGUGAGGGAUGACGGCCUUCGGGUUGUAAACCUCUUUUAGCAGGGAAGAAGCGAAAGUGACGGUACCUGCAGAAAAAGCGCCGGCUAACUACGUGCCAGCAGCCGCGGUAAUACGUAGGGCGCAAGCGUUAUCCGGAAUUAUUGGGCGUAAAGAGCUCGUAGGCGGUUUGUCGCGUCUGCUGUGAAAACCCGAGGCUCAACCUCGGGCCUGCAGUGGGUACGGGCAGACUAGAGUGCGGUAGGGGAGAUUGGAAUUCCUGGUGUAGCGGUGGAAUGCGCAGAUAUCAGGAGGAACACCGAUGGCGAAGGCAGAUCUCUGGGCCGUAACUGACGCUGAGGAGCGAAAGGGUGGGGAGCAAACAGGCUUAGAUACCCUGGUAGUCCACCCCGUAAACGUUGGGAACUAGUUGUGGGGUCCAUUCCACGGAUUCCGUGACGCAGCUAACGCAUUAAGUUCCCCGCCUGGGGAGUACGGCCGCAAGGCUAAAACUCAAAGGAAUUGACGGGGACCCGCACAAGCGGCGGAGCAUGCGGAUUAAUUCGAUGCAACGCGAAGAACCUUACCAAGGCUUGACAUACACGAGAACGCUGCAGAAAUGUAGAACUCUUUGGACACUCGUGAACAGGUGGUGCAUGGUUGUCGUCAGCUCGUGUCGUGAGAUGUUGGGUUAAGUCCCGCAACGAGCGCAACCCUCGUUCUAUGUUGCCAGCACGUAAUGGUGGGAACUCAUGGGAUACUGCCGGGGUCAACUCGGAGGAAGGUGGGGAUGACGUCAAAUCAUCAUGCCCCUUAUGUCUUGGGCUUCACGCAUGCUACAAUGGCCGGUACAAAGGGCUGCAAUACCGCGAGGUGGAGCGAAUCCCAAAAAGCCGGUCCCAGUUCGGAUUGAGGUCUGCAACUCGACCUCAUGAAGUCGGAGUCGCUAGUAAUCGCAGAUCAGCAACGCUGCGGUGAAUACGUUCCCGGGUCUUGUACACACCGCCCGUCAAGUCAUGAAAGUCGGUAACACCUGAAGCCGGUGGCCCAACCCUUGUGGAGGGAGCCGUCGAAGGUGGGAUCGGUAAUUAGGACUAAGUCGUAACAAGGUAGCCGUACCGGAAGGUGCGGCUGGAUCACCUCCUU